rnacentral:lncRNA from 1 species
UGUCAGUGUUCAUACCUCAUCUCCUUAAUUCAAAACAGUUACAAAUAUAACAGCCCAGUUUUUCCAUAAGAGUAACAUUUUCUUGGGUCAAGAGCCAUAAAAAUUUAGAAGAUUUAUUUAAAUUUAUAAAAUUAUAACAAUUGUUAGAAAUGUCUUGAAAAAAAUCGUCCCUUUGAAUAUCAUAAAGAGGGCAUUCUAAUAAAAAAUGAAGCUCAUCUUCAACUUUACCAAGUGAGCAAU